UUCCCUACAUUAAAUCCAGCAUAUAUGGGGUUAAAACCAAAACACUCAUUCCCUGCUUACUGCCUGGCUUCCUGGCUCCAGAAUCAGCUAUCCUCCAUGGAGACAGACACCACCAAGGACAAGCCCUGGAUUCAUUAUCUCCUCCUUGCAAAGAGAUACAGGCUGGUGCGAAAGCUGCUGACCAGCAAGGUCACAGGCUCCCUCCUCUCUGCAAGUAGUCUCAAGGCCAAAGACAGGCUGGUGGGAAAGCUCCAACCAGCAAGGCCAUAUGCUCCCCCUCCCCUACCUAAAACCCCAAAUAAAAACCCUUCCUUUUAGCUUUUCAGGGAGUUUGGGAUUUCAGCAUUAGCUGCCCUCUCUCCUUGCUCAGCACUGUGCAAUAGUUAAAUUCCUACUUUCUUCCACUACCGCCGGUGUCAGAGAUUGGCUUGCUGUGCAAUGGGUGAGCGAACUCACUUCAGGUUUGAUAUCAAUUUGGUGACCCAGAUGGGACAAUGCCCCAGGUGGACCACUUGCCUGUGGCACACCAGCCUCUGGCUAAAGGCCUCUCUUGGAAGCUGUCCUGCAGCUGCCUGAGCCCCUUUUCUCAGGGACAGCCCCAAGCAACUGGCUGCUAACCAGAUGUCAGUGGCCCAUGGCGCUUUGCUUUGGUGGUGGAAGAAACUAGGUUUAGGACUUAGGAAGACAUCUCUCAUAAGUAGCUGGUAGCUUUUGUCUUUGUCCUUGUGCUAACCUUUUCCAGCAGGACCAGCCAAAAAUAAUGGGCACCCAGCAGCCUUCUGGGUUCCAUUUGUUUUGAAGUUGCGACAUCCCGGCCAAAUUUUGAAUCCACUAUCCUCCAUGGAGACAGACACCACCAAGGACAAGCCCUGGAUUCAUUAUCUCCUCUUUGCAAAGAGAUACAGGCUGGUGCGAAAGCUGCUGACCAGCAAGGUCACGGACUCCCUCCUCUCUGCAAGUAGUCUCAAGGCCAAAGACAGGCUGGUGGGAAAGCUCCAACUAGCAAGGCCAUAUGCUGCCCCCCUCCCCCCCCACGUAAAACCCCAAAUAGAAACCCUUCCUUUUAGCUUUUUGGGAAGUUUGGGAUUUCAGCAUUAGCUUCCCUCUCUCCUUGCUCAGUGCUGUGCAAUAAUAAAAUUCCUACUUUCUUCCACCACACCCAGCAUCAGAAAUUGGCUUGCUGUGCAACAGGUUUAAAACACCUGGGUCAAGACCUCUUCUUCUGGCCAAAAUGGAGAAACAAGGACUGGAUUUCCUCUCCUGCCUAAAAAAACCAAAAGACAUACAAAAUGUAUGAAGGAUUUUCGAGACUUUGGAUAUCAGGCAAUGAAAGACAAUGAUCUUUGAGUGAUGGAAAAUAAAUGAGGUAUAACAGACUCAGAAAGUAUUGGGUAAGCUGAAUAGAGUUCCGAGAAUGCUGGGCACAUUCGCCGAACAAUCAAAACACUUCCAACAGAGAGGGAAAAAGAAAAGCAGAUCUAUUGAAAAACAUUUUCAUGACACAGAACCAUGGAAUUAAAUGACUUUCAAAGAAAGGUGUAAACCUUACAAUAAUUUCAAGUCACAUUCAGUAUGAAGCAAAGAUUUACAUGAAAGAACUUUUAGAUGUAUGAACGUUCAUAUGAGAGAAAUGUGCUCAGUGAAGGAGAGAACCCAAAAUGCUUUGCAAUAGCCUGGCCAUUGCUCGAGCAUGAUGACUUCAAAAGAAGCUACAGAAAGAAAUGGAAAGUUGGAAUAAAUACUGACCAAGCAAGGAAAGGACAGAAUAAAAAUGAGUUCCUGUGUCUAUAUAUCCAAGUCCAGAUACCAUUUCUGUAUGGAUGAUCUAGAGAUGAUAAAUUCACAGCAUGUCAAAACCUGAACUAAUCUCAAGUUUGUUACCAAAUUUUUUCUCCAGAUCUUGUUUGAUGAUAGCCCAUCUACCCAGUUACCCAAUCACAGACCUCAGAGUCAUCUUGGAAUCCUCGCUGUGUCCCAUUUUCCCCCAUCUUUUACCAAUUCUAUUGAUUUCGCUGCUAGUGUCUAGACACUCCUUUUAAUGUGUAUGUUAAUGAUAUGAAUCAGAACUUCAUCAAUCUCUUGCGUAGCUCACUGUAACAAUGUCUUAAUUGAUCUCCGUGUCCCUGGUGUUUCUCCUUUCAAUCUAUUCCCCACAUUGCUGCCAAAAUAGUCAUUCUAAAAUGCAAAUCUGAUCAUAUCGCUUCCUUGGUAAAUAUCCUCCAAAGUUUCCUGAUACCAAUUGGGAUAAAAUCCAGAUUCCUUAGCAGAACAUGAAAAGCCCUUAAUAGGGACUACCCUCCUCUCCAUCCAUUCUUUCCAUCAGUAGCCCCUGCUCAUCCUUCCAGACCCAGUUCAGGAAUUAUCUCCUCUGAAUAUUCACUCAUGAUACCCUUAUCUGAAUCAGCUUCCCUAACCACAGCACCUUGCAAUUCUUUUUGGCUUAGAACUUAUCUUAGUUUGUUGUAAUUGAGUGACCAUGUCUCUUUAUCCUACUAUUCUGCAAGAAACUUAAGGAAAGAAGCCAUUGUUCUUCAUUUCUGUAUCCCCAGCAUGGAACACUAAUACGUAGAAAGCAAUUAAAGUGUUUGAGAAAGAAAGGAAAUAGGAAAGAAAAAGAAAAUAGAAGGGAUCAACUAGAUAACUCUAGAAAAUUUUUAACGCUAAAAUGCUGUCUCUGUGAUUCCAUUUAUUUGGGCCAGACCCCCAGGUCAUACACACAUCAUCUACAGGCAGUGAGGGGUAAACUAUCAACACCAAUAAGCUAUUCUUCCAUUCUCCAACCCCAAGGGAAAGUGUUCCCUUAAACUCACCACAUAAAGACAACAAGGAUGCUUUAAGGUGAGAGAAACCUGUAGUAGUAUACAUUCUUAGGAUUACCAGGAGAAAUAGAUCCCCAAGUGGUAGACCAGGGAGCUGAUUUUUACCUCCAAAGCAACAAAGCUCAUGGAAGCAUUGUGUCACCCUCCCUUCCUGCAGCCAUCAACGCUGAGUGCCAGGGAGGUGAAGACUCUCCACACACUAGGGGGUACUCUUGGACCAGCAGUUUCCAUGCUCAUUAAGUUCUCUUUGGAUUUUGCUUCUCUUCAAAUCAAGUUAAAAUGUAUCUCCCCUUAUUCCUAGACUCUGGGAAGUAGAUUUGGUUGUGCCUUCUUCUGUAGCAUACCCAUAACUCUUCUAAAGAAUUUAUCACACUGUUAUUAUUAUUGUUAUUAGAUAAGUGUUCAGAGACAAUUCUCCAAGGGUCUCUUGCGUUUCUGCCCAUUUGAGCAAAGACGUUGACAGCUUUUGCUUCCAACUAUCUUUCCAAGGAUGUUUGUAUGGCAAACUGCCUUUGAGCAUGGAGAUAGUAUCUCCCUUCAAGGGAGAAGAAGGCAGGUUUUUCCUAACCUAUCUUGGUAAUAAAGAUAAUGUCUCCCACUGAGGUGAAGGUUAGGCAAGUUUGCUAGCAGCCUCCUUUGUGAGAUUGGGAGCUUCCAACGCUUAUGUUUCCUCAAUUGUGAUACAAACCUACUGUAGACACAUCUACCUGGGCUACUUUACAUCACCGCCAUGGAACUAGAGGAGAGGGGAGGAAUCCAGGAGAACAUGAAGUUCAUGCUGCCUGCUGUGCCGUGAGUAAUAAAGUUUUCUCUGAUCCAGGAAUCUCAUGUCUUAUGUCAGGAUCUAUGAACCUGCAGCAGACUCACUUGUUAAGCAUUUAAACAGAGCGAAAUCCCAUACCUUUUUCAAGUUCCUGCUAAUGUGCAGUGUGUUUGUGUCUGUGUGUGUGUGUGUGUGUGUGUGUGUGUUUAACCUAUUCAGCUUCUUCUGACCGUGAACUCCUUAAGAGUAAGGAUUGUAUCUAAUCCAUCCAGGGAUCUCCAAGACUUAACCUAAUUAAAAUUAAAAUAGACAUUAGCCGAAUAAAAAUGUAAUGAGAACAUGGGUAGUCAAGAAGAGGAAAAGGGGUCAGGGAAAACCUACCACAUAAUGUACAGGUCUUUUCAUCAUUUAAAUUAAUGCUGCUUUUCAUUAAGUUGAAUUAACGCUAUUGUUCUGUUAGAAAAGAUAAAUAGACUGUUAUCCAUGUAUAUUCUUUACAUGACAAUUAUGACCUUAACCCAACUCUUGCAUUGUCAUUCUAUCCUCAUAUCAUAAGUCCCCACUCACCUACCCACCAUCAACCCUAAAGUUCAAAGUAUAAAAUCAUAUUUUGCAAUAAAAGACACUGAGGGAUUCUGACUGAAAACAUACCAUAAGGAAGUAGGGGUUUAGACCUGUGUUUCAGAUGGGAAUGUUGCUUCUGGACUCCAUUUUUGGUUAACGUUGGAACCCAUCCUUGUUAGUCACUCCUGCACUGUGGGUGGAUGUGUCUGGAGAAAUGACUCUAUGUAUGUGCAUUCAAAGAGUUAAAGCAUCAUAACUAAUAAAAAUUGGGUCCUGAGUAGUUUUGUUGUGAGUCUCUUUCUUCUGAGUGUGAAACUGAGGAAAGAAAUGUCCUCCUCAUUGAGAGGAAACCUCAUAGCUGGACAAAGCAUUCAGAGAAGUGGGAGGUUCACUGGUGAUAGCAAUGGGAUCAGGAGGUGAGGCAUAAGGACCAGGAGGAACAGAAAAUGUAACUGUGAGUCUCCCGAAGCCCUUGAGGCUGCUCUCAUUGGCUUAAGGAGAUGGGGCUCCAACGAACGUGGAGGCACCUGAUGGACUGGAUAUACCUGACAGAUAAAGUUAUCCGGGUGUCAGCCUCACUGGGGUCCAGCCAAAGGUCUGAAUUUCUAUUUCUUCUAAGAUAACUGAUUCAUG
rnacentral:lncRNA from 1 species